GCUGCUGUAGCCCCUACGUGGUGAGUAGAUCGUCUCCACAGAAAUCAGCGGAGGCUUCCACAGUCCCUGGUUGGAAUGGAACCGGCGGUGAGGAUGAGAGGCGCUGAAGACCAGAAGACCCAGGGCGUGAACGGGGCGUGUCAUCCCUGGAGUUUCAGUAGAAUUUCAGGCCUGUCUGCUUGAGCAGCAGAGGAGGAGUUUCUGUGUGCCUGUGAGAGACUGUGUGUGUGUGUGUGUGUGUGUGUGUGUGUGAGAUGAAUGAACAGGGUUGUGUACGUGUGUGUGCGUUAGACAAAUGAACAGUGUUGUGUACCUGUGUGAAUUGUCACUGUGACUCCAGGCUCUAGGCUCUGCAGAUUCCUCAGCCCUAUCGCCUCACAGACACUUGGGAUGUGCAGCAGGUAAAAGAGAGAAGCCAGAUUCAUGGAGGCGUGAAGGAUCCCAGCAAGAAAACACAGACUUGAUCUUGAGACGAGAUUUUUGAAAUUGGUUGCGGCCUCAAGGCAGGCUCUGAGAAGACUCGAUAAAGAGUUCUCAGGAAUAGGCAUCCCUCCUGGAUAUUUCCCCCUUGGAAGCGCCGAGGAGCCAGCUCUAUGUUUGUAACCAUAGCAUUUCUAAAGCUCCAGCCCCAGGAACCUGCUGUGAAUUAGAGACAGAUUCCACCCUAGGCAUCACUGAUCUUGGCCUCUCUUGUAUUGGGAAGGUCAACACUGUUCCAGUUUCUCUCCUACUCCCAUCUGGUUGUGCUCGGUGAAGUAGGUGAGCAGUGCUACCCUUCUGUUAAAAAAAAAAAAAAAAAAAAGAUCCUGAAAGAGGAAAGAAUUUUUGCUACACAUCUGAAAGCUAAAGUCCAGUUGAACUCCAGAGGAGAACACAGCCCAGGUAACCCCUCGUUUGCAGCCUGUGAGACCAGCCUGAGGACAGCACCCAGCUAAACUCCAGGUCCAUGGAAACUGUGAGAUUUUAUAUAUUUAUGUUGUUUUAAGCUAAAUUCGUGGUAAUUGGUUAUGGUAGCAACUGAAAAUUAAUGCAGUAAGAAAGUCUAAGGAGAUCGGAAGAGACUAAAGAGAAAUAACAGCUAAAUGCAACGUAGAUUAAUGUGUGGGAUCCUGGAAAAGAAAAAGGACAUUAAUGGGAAAACAUAUUUGAAUAAGAUGUGCAAAUUUUUCGUAUUGUACCAAUGUUAAUUUCCUGGUUUUGAUAAUUAUCCUUUGGUUAUGUAAGAUAAACGCUAGAAUGAAGGGUAUAUGAGAACCCUCUGUACUACUCUUGCAACUUUUCUCUAAGUCUAAAAUAAGUGGAAAUUAAAAGUUAAAACAAAAAAAAAGGAAAAUUUUAUCUAUCCCAAGACCACAAAGUUAUUUUUCUGUUUCUUCCUCCAGAAUCUUUAUUGUUUGUUUUCACACUUAGACCUAUGAUCCAUCUUGAAUUUAUAUCUGUGUAUGUAGUGGGAUGAAGUUCAAAAUCAUUUUUUUCAUACAGAUAUCCAAGUGCACUGGCACCGUUUGUUAAAAACACUGGCCUUCUCUUAAGCUGCAGUCAGACUUUUACUGUAAAGCAUGGGCCCAUAUAUGUGCAGGAGUCUUUCUACUUUUCCGUUGGUCCUCUUUGUCAAUCUUUGUGCCAGCACCUCCAUUUUAAUUCCUGUAGCUUUAUAUUAUAUCUUGAUAAUCUGGUAAUAUAAGUUGAAGAACAACUUUGUUCUUCAAAAUCACUUUGUCUAUUCCAGGUUCUUUGCAUUGCUCUAUAAUUUUAGAAUGAGUUAAUUAAUUUUCUCAAAACAAACAAAACGCCCUGCUGACAUUUUGUUGGCAGUACAUUGAAUCAGUAGAUAAAUUUAGAGAGAAUUAUCUCAAAAUUGAGUCUUACAGUUCAUGAACAUGGAAUACAUUUCCAUUUAUUGAAUUCAUCUUUAAUUUCUUUCCUUAAGGUUUUGUUGUUUCCUGUCUAAAGGUCUUGCACAUCUGUUAAAUUUAUUCCUGUUUUACAUUUUUUAUGUUUUUACAAACUGUUAAGGUUUUAAAAAUUUUAUUUUUCAGUAGCUUUGCUUUAAUAUAAUUGUUUUAUACUUUUACCCUUUAUUCAGCAAUAAAUUAUUUAAUUUAAAGCUUGUGGAAUUAAAAAAUAUUUUUAUGUACAUAAUCAUGUAAUCUACACUAUCUGCAAAUAAAGAUCAUUUUACUUCCUUCCA